AUUGAACGCUGGCGGCAGGCCUAACACAUGCAAGUCGAGCGGCAGCGGGAAAGUAGCUUGCUACUUUUGCCGGCGAGCGGCGGACGGGUGAGUAAUGCCUGGGAAAUUGCCCAGUCGAGGGGGAUAACAGUUGGAAACGACUGCUAAUACCGCAUACGCCCUACGGGGGAAAGCAGGGGACCUGCGGGCCUUGCGCGAUUGGAUAUGCACAGGUGGGAUUAGUUAGUUGGUGAGGUAAUGGCCCACCAAGGCGACGAUCCCUAGCUGGUCUGAGAGGAUGAUCAGCCACACUGGAACUGAGACACGGUCCAGACUCCUACGGGAGGCAGCAGUGGGGAAUAUUGCACAAUGGGGGAAACCCUGAUGCAGCCAUGCCGCGUGUGUGAAGAAGGCCUUCGGGUUGUAAAGCACUUUCAGCGAGGAGGAAAGGUUGAUGCCUAAUACGUAUCAACUGUGACGUUACUCGCAGAAGAAGCACCGGCUAACUCCGUGCCAGCCGCCGCCGUAACAC
rnacentral:rRNA from 1 species